rnacentral:rRNA from 2 species
CGGGUGGUAAUGCCGGAUGUUCCAGUUGAUCGCAUGGUCUUCUGGGAAAGCUUUCGCGGUAUGGGAUGGGGUCGCGUCCUAUCAGCUUGACGGCGGGGUAACGGCCCACCGUGGCUUCGACGGGUAGCCGGCCUGAGAGGGCGACCGGCCACAUUGGGACUGAGAUACGGCCCAGACUCCUACGGGAGGCAGCAGUGGGGAAUAUUGCACAAUGGGCGCAAGCCUGAUGCAGCGACGCCGCGUGAGGGAUGGAGGCCUUCGGGUUGUAAACCUCUUUUAUCGGGGAGCAAGCGUGAGUGAGUUUACCCGUUGAAUAAGCACCGGCUAACUACGUGCCAGCAGCCGCGGUAAUACGUAGGGUGCAAGCGUUAUCCGGAAUUAUUGGGCGUAAAGGGCUCGUAGGCGGUUCGUCGCGUCCGGUGUGAAAGUCCAUCGCUUAACGGUGGAUCCGCGCCGGGUACGGGCGGGCUUGAGUGCGGUAGGGGAGACUGGAAUUCCCGGUGUAACGGUGGAAUGUGUAGAUA